rnacentral:rRNA from 1 species
GUGGGGAAUCUUAGACAAUGGGGGAAACCCUGAUCUAGCCAUGCCGCGUGAUCGAUGAAGGCCUUAGGGUUGUAAAGAUCUUUCAGGUGGGAAGAUAAUGACUGUACCACCAGAAGAAGCCCCGGCUAACUCCGUGCCAGCAGCCGCGGUAAUACGGAGGGGGCUAGCGUUGUUCGGAGUUACUGGGCGUAAAGCGCACGUAGGCGGAUUGGAAAGUUGGGGGUGAAAUCCCGGGGCUCAACCCCGGAACUGCCUUCAAAACUCCCAGUCUUGAGUUCGGGGGAGGUGAGUGGAAUUCCGAGUGUAGAGGUGAAAUUCGUAGAUAUUCGGAGGAACACCAGUGGCGAAGGCGGCUCACUGGCUCGAUACUGACGCUGAGGUGCGAAAGCGUGGGGAGCAAACAGGAUUAGAUACCCCUGUAGUCC